rnacentral:rRNA from 1 species
CCUACGGGUGGCAGCAGUGAGGAAUAUUGGUCAAUGGGGGCAACUCUGAACCAGCCAAGUAGCGUGCAUGAUGACGGCCCUAUGCGCUGUAAACUCCUUUUAUACGGGAGUAAACUGAGGCACGUGUGCCUUAUUGCACGUACCUCAUGAAUCAGGACCGGCUAAUUCCGUGCCAGCAGCCGCGGUAAUACGGAGGUUCCGGGCGUUAUCCGGAUUUACUGGGUUUAAAGGGCGCGUAGAGGGGAAUUUAAGUCAGGAGUGAAAGUUUGGGGCUCAACCGCAGGACUGCAAUUGAAACUGGAAGCCUUGAGUACAGGAGAGGCAGGCGGAAUGCGUGGUGUAGCGGUGAAAUGCUUAGAUAUCACGAAGAACACCGAUUGCGAAGGCAGCCUACUGGACUGCGACUGACGUUGAGGCCCGAAAGUGUGGGGAGCAAACAGGAUUAGAUACCCGAGUAGUC